rnacentral:rRNA from 1 species
GCCGCUGGCGACCGGCGCACGGGUGACGUAACGCGUAUCCAACUCCCCCUAGUAGGGAAUAGCCCGGCGAAAGUCGGAUUAAUGCCCUAUGUCUUCAAAGCGGACAUCAACUUGAAGCAAAGAUUGAUCGCUAAGGGAUGGGGAUGCGUCUGAUUAGCUUGUCGGCGGGGUAACGGCCCACCGAGGCGACGAUCAGUAGGGUUCUGAGAGGAAGGUCCCCCACAUUGGUACUGAGACACGGACCAAACUCCUACGGGAGGCAGCAGUGAGGAAUAUUGGUCAAUGGGCGUAGGCCUGAACCAGCCAAGUAGCGUGCAAGGAUGACUGCCCUAUGGGUUGUAAACUGCUUUUAUGCGGGAAUAAAGUCAGGUACGUGUACCUGUUUGUAUGUACCGCAUGAAUAAGGACCGGCUAAUUCCGUGCCAGCCGCCGC